AUUGAACGCUGGCGGCAGGCCUAACACAUGCAAGUCGAACGAGUGGCGGACGGGUGAGCAAUGUCUGGGAAACUGCCUGAUGGAGGGGGAUAACUAAUGGAAACGGUAACCAAUACCGCAUACCAUCAGAUGUGCCCAGAUGGGCUUAGCUGGUGGGUGGGGUAACGGCUCACCAAGGCGACGAUCCCUACCUGGUCUGAGAGGAUGACCAGCCACACUGGAACUGAGACACGGUCCAGACUCCUACGGGAGGCAGCAGUGGGGAAUAUUGCACAAGGGGCGCAAGCCUGAUGCAGUCAUGCCGCGUGUGUGAAGAAGGCCUUCGGGUUGUAAAGUACUUUAAGCGGGGAGGCGUUACCCGCAGAAGAAGCACCGGCUAACUCCGUGCCAGCAGCCGCGGUAAUUC
rnacentral:rRNA from 1 species